GUUAUUUCCAUAUUAAACUAGGCAACAAAGUCUAACUUUUUAUUUACUCAAGGAACCAAAAAACUUUUCUGAUAGUUUAAAAGUUUUAAACAUUUUUAAUGCUUUAGUAAUUUUUUCCAAAAAAUGUUUUUUUAACUAUUUAGAUUGCGGUAUUUUUUUUUUUAACUUUGACUUAAGAAACUUAGGAAUUUCUUGUGCUUUUAUAUUUUAUUUGUACAGGUGCGUUGAACUUUGUGUUUAAUCUUCGAACCAAACCGAAAUCUGAUGGAUUUUGAGCUUUAAAAUGUUUAAUGAAUUAAAGUUUUUUAGAUGGUGUUUUUUUUUUACAUUGUUAAAAUUAAAAUUUUGUUUUGUGGUUGUGCCUUAUCUUUUUAUAUAGCCAGAUGCUAUAUACAAGAGGCUGUAUAGGUACUUAAUUACUUGAUUGUACUUAGGUUAUUUGAAUACCACAAAACAUCUGAACAAAAAGUUAGAAAACCAGCUUACAAAUUUAAACAACCCACACCUAUAACCAAAAUUCAUUUAACAUUUUAAAAGCCCAACAUUUAUCGGAAAUAUUCGGUUUGGCUUGAAGCGUAUAUAUAGUGUUGCACGAUUAUAUGCGUUAAAGGUAUCGGUUUAAAAAAUUUGGAUGUACGGAUAAGGUGCAGAAUCUACGCAUUAAUUAUAUGGACGUUGCUUGUGAGUAUUGUGGUGCAUUAAAGUUUACGAGUUUACUCGCAAACGGUAGCGGUAGUCACGUGCGUAACACGUGCCGUAAAACAUCGUUUCGGACUGCAAGGUGGAACGGAAUAUUGCGUGUUUCCGUGUUGGACAACCAAACAAAUUUUAUACCUAUAAGUUUUCGAAAAUUAAACGUAUAUAAAAGGUUUGCUUUGUUUUGUUUCUCAUUUCUUAUCCGUGCAUACACAAUGUGGCGAGUUCGCUUAUAUAAAAAUUAAACCCAUUUUGUUUGGCUUUUCUUAAAAAUUUCCAAAAAAAUAUCGCUUAAAAUUUUAAAUUUUGCAUUUGAAAGCUUAAUGUUUCACAGACUAUAAGCUGAAGUUCCAAACUAUGCAGUUCAAAUGUCAGCUUUUCGGAAUUGCAAAGUUAAUUACAACCAGAUGUCAUAUAAUUAUGCUAUGUGAAAAGAAAGAGGUAGUAGCUCUUAUAAAACCAAAUUCAUUAAACAUUUUUAAAGCCCCUAAUCAACUAGAAAAAAGUUGGCUUAGUUACUAAAGUGGUAACCUUUCGUGCUAACCAAUUUUCUAAAUACCUAUAUAUAUAUAUGUUUCGGAUUAUCCGACUGAUACAAUUAAAAAUUUAAGAAAUCGAAUGGUUGGUUUUAAGCCUUAAAGUCUAGUUUCAAAAGAUUCAUUAAGAAAUCUCAAAUAAAUUAAAAAAAUACUUUGGUACUUCAGUUUUAUCUGCAUAUAAUUUUUUUUGUUCUUUGCGCUUACCGCCCUUACAAAUUGAAAAUACAGUAUAAUAAUAAUAAAUGAUCUUAUCUACUAGACCUUGAGAUCGGAGUACUUGAGUGUGUUUCAAGCAGAUGUUGUAGCAAUCAGAUAAUCCAUUCCCAUUGUCUUCGAACCUACCUCUAUAUAGGCUCAAGUAGCGAUUAAGUAAACAUCUCUAACCAAGAUCACAGACAAGUUCGGUCUUUGCCUAAUAUGGGUGCUCGGACACAGUUACAUUGAUAAGAGUUGUCCCGCAGACGAACUAGCAAGGCAGGCACGAAACUCAUUUCUCACGUAUGAAAUAUUAGAGAUAUACAUAAAUAUGCGAUAGUGGAAACUGAACAAAGAAACUAUUGGCAAUGUUAUACCGACUCAGCAGACUCUGAUGAAGUUGUCGGGCCGAGGAAGAAGAGGUUUCAGUUCCCACUUCUUCACCCACUGUUCUGACCUCGAAUACCGCAGACUUCGAUUUAAAUUUUCUGAGUGGCUUUUAUUUAUUUGUUAUUUAAUCUAACAAUAACUUUAUCAAAGGUUAUAAACCGGGUUGCCACAGAAAACUCUAGACUUUUUUACUCUAGUGGUUUGCCAAAUCCCCCGAAAAAUCCCGAUCUGAGGAGGCUUUAUUGUUCGGACAAUUCUCGGAACUCACGCGCAACAAUAAGAAUGGUUUUUAAAAAAAUUAGACGAGCGAAAAUAGUCAAAUCAAGAAUUAUAUUCCUGUGGAAACGAUUAGAAUUCACCCUUGUUUUAUGGUCGUACUGCUGUUUUCAGCCAAAACGUUUCGUUUUCGUUUUAAGGUGCUCGAUAUGUUUCAUUUUUCAUCGUUUCUGGCAAACAAAAACAGCUGACCUAGCUGCUUUUGUAAAAAUACAGCGUGAUUAAAAUGUCUUUUAUUUUUGCUUGCAAAACGACUGCAGAAAUGACGUGAUCUAAGAAGACCUAGACAUCUUAGAUGCAACAUUUGCGUAUCUAACAUGUCUGACGAGCUGUGAGUAACAGCAUGCAAAUUGAAAAUUAAAUUGCCAAUGAUCAAGAUUUCAGAUUUGUGAAGUCAUUUCGGUAAUUUUAGAAUACAAAAUUAAUUUUCUGCACUUACA